UGGUUCUGGCAUCGAUGAAGAACGCAGCAAAAUGCGAUAAGUAAUGUGAAUUGCAGAAUUCAGUGAAUCAUCGAAUCUUUGAACGCACAUUGCGCCCGCCAGUAUUCUGGCGGGCAUGCCUGUUCGAGCGUCAUUUCAACCCUCAAGCCCCUCCGGGUUUGGUGUUGGAGAUCGGCGGCGGACCCCCCCGGGGGCCCGGCCGGCUCCCAAAUUCAGUGGCGGUCUCGCCGCGGACUCAUUGCGUAGUAGCUAACACCUCGCAACUGGAACGCGGCGCGGCCAAGCCGUUAAACCCCCAACUUCUGAAUGUUGACCUCGGAUCAGGUAGGAAUACCCGCUGA
rnacentral:misc_RNA from 1 species